CUACGGGAGGCUGCAGGGGGGAAUAUUGGACAAUGGGCGAAAGCCUGAUCCAGCCAUGCCGCGUGUGUGAAGAAGGCCUUCGGGUUGUAAAGCACUUUCAGUGGGGAAGAAAGCCUUGGGGCUAAUACCCUCGAGGAAGGACAUCACCCACAGAAGAAGCACCGGCUAACUCCGUGCCAGCAGCCGCGGUAAUACGGAGGGUGCGAGCGUUAAUCGGAAUUACUGGGCGUAAAGCGCGCGUAGGCGGUCUGAUAAGCCGGUUGUGAAAGCCCCGGGCUCAACCUGGGAACGGCAUCCGGAACUGUCAGGCUAGAGUGCAGGAGAGGAAGGUAGAAUUCCCGGUGUAGCGGUGAAAUGCGUAGAGAUCGGGAGGAAUACCAGUGGCGAAGGCGGCCUUCUGGACUGACACUGACGCUGAGGUGCGAAAGCGUGGGUAGCAAACAGGAUUAGAUACCCUGGUAGUC
rnacentral:rRNA from 1 species